rnacentral:rRNA from 1 species
AGAGUUUGAUCCUGGCUCAGGAUGAACGCUGGCGGCGUGCCUAAUACAUGCAAGUCGAACGAGGUCUUCGGACCUAGUGGCGAACGGGUGAGUAACACGUUGGUACCUGCCCCGAAGUGGGGAAUAACUGCCCGAAAGGGUGGCUAAUACCGCAUAAUACCGCAAGGUUAAAGCAGUAAUGCGCUUCGGGAGGGGCCUGC